rnacentral:rRNA from 1 species
AUUGAACGCUGGCGGCAGGCCUAACACAUGCAAGUCGAGCGGAUGAAGGGAGCUUGCUCCUGGCUUCAGCGGCGGACGGGUGAGUAAUGCCUAGGAAUCUGCCUGGUCGUGGGGGAUAACGUCCGGAAACGGGCGCUAAUACCGCAUCCGUCCUGAGGGUGAAAGGGAUGGAUCUUCGGACCUCACGCUAUUUGAUGAGCCUAGGUCGGAUUAGCUAGUUGGUUGGGUAAAGGCGUACCAAGGCGACGAUCCGUAACUGGUCUGAGAGGAUGAUCAGUCACACUGGAACUGAGACACGGUCCAGACUCCUACGGGAGGCAGCAGUGGGGAAUAUUGGGCAAUGGGCGAAAGCCUGAUCCAGCCAUGCCGCGUGUGUGAAGAAGGUCUUCGGAUUGUAAAGCACUUUAAUUUGGGAGGAAGGGCAGUAAGUGAAUACCUGGCUGUUUUGACGUUACCAACAGAAUAAGCACCGGCUAACUACGUG